rfam:Ovis aries breed Texel chromosome 6, whole genome shotgun sequence.
UAGCUCAGUUGGUAAAGCAUCUGCUUGCAACGCAGGAGACCCGGGUUUGAUUCCUGG